UACGUAGGGUGCAAGCGUUAAUCGGAAUUACUGGGCGUAAAGCGUGCGCAGGCGGUUGUGUAAGACAGAUGUGAAAUCCCCGGGCUCAACCUGGGAACUGCAUUUGUGACUGCACGGCUCGAGUGCGGCAGAGGGGGAUGGAAUUCCGCGUGUAGCAGUGAAAUGCGUAGAUAUGCGGAGGAACACCGAUGGCGAAGGCAAUCCCUGGGCCUGC
rnacentral:rRNA from 1 species